rnacentral:rRNA from 1 species
GUGAGGUAAUGGCUCACCAAGGCGACGACGGGUAGCCGGCCUGAGAGGGCGACCGGCCACACUGGGACUGAGACACGGCCCAGACUCCUACGGGAGGCAGCAGUGGGGAAUAUUGCACAAUGGGCGAAAGCCUGAUGCAGCGACGCCGCGUGAGGGAUGACGGCCUUCGGGUUGUAAACCUCUUUCAGCAGGGACGAAGGGUGACUGACGGUACCUGCAGAAGAAGCGCCGGCCAACUACGUGCCAGCAGCCGCGGUAAGACGUAGGGCGCGAGCGUUGUCCGGAUUUAUUGGGCGUAAAGAGCUCGUAGGCGGCUUGUCGCGUCGUCCGUGAAAACUUGGGGCUCAACCCCAAGCUUGCGGUCGAUACGGGCAGGCUCGAGUUCGGUAGGGGAGAUCGGAAUUCCUGGUGUAGCGGUGAAAUGCGCAGAUAUCAGGAGGAACACCGGUGGCGAAGGCGGGUCUCUGGGCCGAUACUGACGCUGAGGAGCGAAAGCGUGGGGAGCGAACAGGAUUAGAUACCCUGGUAGUCCACGCUGUAAACGUUGGGCGCUAGGUGUGGGGGGCCUCUCCGGUUCUCUGUGCCGCAGCUAACGCAUUAAGCG